UCAAUCCUGAUGUGUUCGUUUAUGAUAAGUGUUUUGACCGAACACCUAUAUACUUGGGAGCUUGAAAUUGUUUCUAUGUUGCGUGCAUGCCUUGAUUUACCUAAUUCGAGGAAGCACAAUAUACAUAGAACAAAGCACCCACCUGCUUGAAGCGGGAUCAAAGCUUACAAUUGAACGGCACAAUCGGGAUUAUC
rnacentral:other from 1 species